UGAAUUAUUUAUUCAAUUUUAAGCAUUCUGCUGUAACAUAAUUAAUGUUGUUGUUGGCUUUUUCCUACGAAUUCUAUUACUAAUUUUCUCUCCUCUGUCAGCUUUUUCCUAUGACUUGGUUCCUUUUUCCUUUUAAUGCUGAUUAGACUUAUCAAAUGGAGAUCUAUUCAUGAACGGUGAUAAAAACUUGUUGAAGCAUGAAAUUAAAAUACCUACUAAGAUGACAGUUUCAUA
rnacentral:misc_RNA from 1 species